rnacentral:lncRNA from 1 species
AGCAUAUGGAGAUUCCCAGGCUUGGGGUCGAAUCGGAGCUGUAGCCACCAGCCUACACCACAGCCACAGCAAUGCCGGAUCCUUAACCCACUGAGCAAGGCCAGGGAUUGAACCCACAACCUCAGGGUUACUAGUCGGAUUCAUUUCCGCUGCACCACAAUGGGAACUCCGAAAGCCAUACAUUUUCUACCAACUGAAGAAGAAGAAUAGUAACCCAGGCAGAACACAGACAGGAUGUUAACAAUCCUGCCAGGAUGUGGGAUUAACCUCUCCCUCUAAAGAGACGAAAUAUACAAACUCUGGCCACCAUCAGGGGUUAGAUUUGCAUCCUCUCCUAAGGAUGUAUUUCAUUAGUUACUUCACCUAUGGCUUUUCAAUGAACAUCCUGAGCCUGCAUUUUAUGAGCAGCAAAGUCCUGUUAGAUUCUGUGAUGAGUUCCUUUCGGCUUUAAGUACCACCAUUAGGAUGGUUGAUGCCCUCUUCAGUGAUGUAACUGCAACCUCUUUUUCUGCAUGUUUGAACCCAAGUACUUUUCGAUUGAACACUCUCCCUUUCAGACCUUCUUUGAAGGAAGACUUGGAGUCAAAUGGGUUAAAGUUCUACGAUGACCAGGUAUUGCCACAAUAAGACUGGAAAACAACCACUCCAAGAGCCCAGUGGCUUAGAGCAACCUGCUGUUGUUCCCAUGCUCAGAAAUCUGCAGGCUGGCUGUGGUUCUGUUGAUGCAGGGUGGGCUUGGCUGGGCAGCUCAGCUUCAGGCUGUGGCUUGUCUGAUCUUGGUACCAGCUCAGUCUCCAAGGGUUAGACUCAGAUCCACACCAUGUAGGUUUACUCUGGAGACAACCCCUGAUCUCAGAAAAUCCUGCAGAGAGCAGCGAAGCCCUGUGUGAAUGUUUCAAAUGUUACCAGGAUGGUUCUGUAAGGACUCCCUGGAGGCUUGGGGUUUGAGGUAUAAAAAUGCCUGUAACCAUGUAUGUACCACAUCAGUCUUUUGUUGGGGGCAAUGGGGGGGGGAUAGAAGGAUGGAGGGUGCAUAUGACAUCCCCAUAGCCAAUAAAUUUCUCCUCCACUAUCCUCAAGCUAUGACACACUUUUGGGCUAUGGGAUGAAAGAGCUACAUGUCACAAGGCUGAAUAACAAAUAGCUUUAGGUGAUAAAGUAUAACAGACAUGGUUAUACCAAGCCCAGAGCUAACCCAGGCCUGUGAAAAAUACCAAAACAGUAAAUGAAGAGAACCACACUCAUUUUGUGACCUAAAAUUCUAAUUUCCAUGGAGGGAGUCAUAAGCAUCUGAGCCAUCUAUAGCAGACAGAAGAAAAUUAAUGAAUAAAAUAGUGUCCACUCGGAUCCCUACUUCCAGACUGAUUAGAAUGCCAGAGACAAAAGUGAUUGUUAGUGAUUUUUCCCCCCACACAGAACUAUGCUGCUGUGAUGAUGCUUUGUUUUGCAGAAUGAAAGGACAGCAUCUAGUGAUCUAGUUUACACUCUCAUGUUUCAAAUAUCGACAUUCAUAAUUUAUGACCAGCUGAUUCAUACGAGUUCAUUUGAGUAGACAGAAAAUGCUUCUCAUUAAAAAUAAAUUCCUAACACAUGAAAGUUUUAUCUUUUCUUUUUCCAUGUUGAGUUUUUCAUAGUCAUUGGAUAAAUAUCGCUACAAAAUUUAAUUUGAAUUCUGAUACAUUUCUAUGUUUUCCUACUGAAUUCUGAAUACCCAUCCUAUGUCUGGGAAUAUUAUGAUGUGAACAACAACAAAACAUAUACAAAAUGAAGUUAUUUCAGAAGUCGAACAAGAAAACAUGGACAUACAAACGUACUCGUGGAUCUCAGUAAAUUAUAAUUCAAUUUUGCUCCAGAGUCAAACACCUUGCUCGCUGGUUUGAGUUGAAGUUAUACCUGGUCCCACCUUGCACUGUCCACCUUUUACCAAAAGCAAUUCUGCGGUCUGUUUUGACCGCUCUGUAUGCACAGGUGUUGUGGGACCGCUACUCCAACUUUGCCCCUCUGCGACAAUGCUUUCUUUUGUACUUCCUUAGUUUUUAUCCCCCACAGACUGUGGACAUGCAACCCAGGCUUUACAACAUACCCUGACUUCCAGGAAGAUGUAGACCGACCUGACUUUGCCAUCCUGGGGAAUUUCUUGUUUGCUGGAAGGGGAUUCUAGGAGUCAAGGCAUCAUCACAGAUACUGGCCAAGCAGAGCUACUGGCUUUUAUCACCACUUUCAGAUCACCUUUCUUUUCUUUCUUUCUUCCUUUCUUUCUUCCUUUCUUUCCUUCCUUCCUUUCUUCCUUUCUUUCCUUCCUUCCUUCCUUUCUUUCUUUUUGACUUUUUAGGGCCACACCCUUGACAUAUGGAGGUUUCCAAGCUAGGGGUCAAAUCAGAGCUGUAGCUGCUGGCCUACCCACAGCCGCACCAGAUCUGAGCUGUGCCUGCAACCUAUACCACAGCUCACAGCAACGCUGGAUCCUUAACCCACAGUGUGGGGCCAGGGAUCAAACCUGCAUCCUCAUGGAUGCUGGUCAGAUUCCUUUCCACUGAGCCACGAUGGGAACGCCCUCAUUUUUCAUUUUAUCUGUCUUUAUAGUUCUAUAUACCAUCUCAUUUGAAGACGAGGUUCUUCCAUUUUUCAGUUCUUUCUAAGCAUUGCCUUAUAACCAGCUCAGAAAAUAGAAGACAAUGACAACAGUCUCUGAGAUGUUUUUCAUUGAGUCCGAGGAAGGCUUACUUUGCAGGUCUAUCCAUAUACAUCUACUUACGAUCUUCUAUUUUUAAUUAGCUGCACCUCUGUGUGUGUGUGUCUGUGUGUCUGUGUGUGUCUAUAGCGGAUGCUCAGUGACCUGCCAGCAGCCACUCAGUUUGUAUCCUUCUUGAGCCAAGUUGUUUAAUGGCAGAAGUGUUGUAAGAGUCAAACUGGUUAGUGGAGAAAACAUAUCAUUACCUUUUCCGUUAGUGUCUGCACAUAAGCGCACCCCUCAUUCCUCUGUGCAUUUUUGCUAAGCACCAAGAAAACAAUGUUGCCACCAACACUGAUGGGCAUCCCGGAGGUGUAGGGACAGAUUCUGCAAGUGCAUUUUCUUCCUCAUAUUUACGAGCCUUUAUGAGCCCUUCAUACAAUAUCAGUAGGUAUGUAUUUGUAUAUGCUGGUGGUACCCAAGGACAUGCUUAACCAUUGCUCUUUAAUACUCCCUGUAAAAAGAAAGCUUCCUCUAUUGUAUAACACAAAGAAAGGCGAUGAAUGAAAGUAACGUUUAUCCCUGGAGACCUUG